GCGGAUGUGGCGAAAUUGGUAGACGCACCAGAUUUAGGUUCUGGCGCCGAGAGGCGUGGGGGUUCAAGUCCCUCCAUCCGCACCA
rnacentral:tRNA from 1 species